UACGAAGGGGGCUAGCGUUGCUCGGAAUCACUGGGCGUAAAGGGUGCGUAGGCGGGUCUUUAAGUCAGGGGUGAAAUCCUGGAGCUCAACUCCAGAACUGCCUUUGAUACUGAAGAUCUUGAGUUCGGGAGAGGUGAGUGGAACUGCGAGUGUAGAGGUGAAAUUCGUAGAUAUUCGCAAGAACACCAGUGGCGAAGGCGGCUCACUGGCCCGAUACUGACGCUGAGGCACGAAAGCGUGGGGAGCAAACAGGGAUUAGAAACCCC
rnacentral:rRNA from 1 species